UUAACUCAAAUUUGUAUGCAGUUAGAACAGCGCCCCUAGCGGCAAGCGCAGGCAAACUUUCCAACUCCAUACAAAUAUGAGUUA
rnacentral:pre_miRNA from 1 species